UACAGAGGUCUCAAGCGUUGUUCGGAUUCAUUGGGCGUAAAGGGUGUGUAGGUGGCGCCGUAAGUCGGGUGUGAAAUUUCGGAGCUUAACUCCGAAACUGCAUUCGAUACUGCGGUGCUUGAGGACUGGAGAGGAGACUGGAAUUCAUGGUGUAGCAGUGAAAUGCGUAGAGAUCAUGAGGAAGACCAGUGGCGAAGGCGGGUCUCUGGACAGUUCCUGACACUGAGACACGGAAGGCCAGGGGAGGCAAAACGGG
rnacentral:rRNA from 1 species